UACGUAGGGUGCAAGCGUUGUCCGGAAUUACUGGGCGUAAAGAGUUCGUAGGCGGUUUGUCGCGUCGUUUGUGAAAACCAGCAGCUCAACCGCUGGCUUGCAGGCGAUACGGGCAGACUUGAGUACUGCAGGGGAGACUGGAAUUCCUGGUGUAGCGGUGAAAUGCGCAGAUAUCAGGAGGAACACCGGUGGCGAAGGCGGGUCUCUGGGCAGUAACUGACGCUGAGGAACGAAAAGCGUGGGUAGCGAACAGG
rnacentral:rRNA from 1 species